AUGCCGUCGACGGAGUCUCUGGAAUCCAGGGCAACCCGUCCGCUCCGCCACGGAAGCACCGCAGCCACGCCGGGGCCGGGGCUGGGGGUGACGACCCGGUCGAGGGCGCGCGCGCAGCAGGAAUCCCAAUCCCAAUAUGCCGCAAGGGCCAAGCUCCGCGAGGCGGAUGGGUGCAAGAAGAGGGCCAAGCUUGAUGGGACCAGCCAGCCGGAGAGCUCCAAGAAAGGGAAACCGUCCUCGACUACAGCCAAGAUAGUCAAAGUUCGGGUUGGGGGGACGAGGAUGAUGAUGGCUCUUCCUCUGCGUUCAGCUCUCCAAUUCGCGUGCCCGUGCCUGAAGAUUACAUGCCUUCAAACGGCGACAAUGGAGUUGCCCACGCUUUUUGAAGAUAUGCCUCCAAGUUGUCUGGUUGAUGAUCCAACGCUUCUUCACAUCCGUGAACCUGCAAGGAAGACGGUGCUUCGUGCUGCUCAAUUCGUUGUUGGGGUUUCAUCCUCGAUAGAUGGUGAGCCGCUAGCGCGGUGCUCUGGUUUCUGGAUUGAUUUUGAUAAUGAGAACAAAACCGGUACUGUUGUGACGACUGCACUUGUGAUUCGCACAAGGCACACAUCCAAAGGUGCUUGGCAUUGCAAAGAUCAGUAUGCUUGUGAUGCUAAGGUUUAUGUUGACUUGCGGGGUUACAAGGGUUACAUCAUGGCAGAGGGCCGCCUGCUCUACUACCAGAAGCACUAUAAUCUUGCUUUCUUCAGGGUGAGAGUGGAUUCAUCUGUUCAGUUACCCUCUUUUAGUGAUAAAGUGAAAAGUGCUCAAGACAUUUUUGAGCUUGGAAGAGAUGACUGUUUCAAUCUACUCAUAAAUCAUGGUAGAGUGGAAUAUUCAAAUCCAUCCAGGGAUGAGCGGUAUCACCACAUGUACAUUCAAGGUCCACAACGAGAUUGUAUGCAUGAUCUAGGAGGUCCUGUUAUUGACUUAGAUGGGAAGGUUGUGGGAAUGAUCGGCAGUUGUUCAGGAGGGCACAUACCUCGACCCCACCUUAGAUUGAAAUUUAAUGCCAUCAGCCUUUUAAACCCUGCUCAUGUUGAGCAUAUAUUGGUCGAGUGUGAGAUUGAUGAAGGUCUUAUUGUUACGGAGGUGUGUGAGGACUCUCCUGCCGAAAAAUGUGGAAUUCGAAACGGGGAUGUUAUUGAAUGUCUCAAUGGAAAACGCGUUUCUACUACUGUGGAGUUGGAAAACAUGUUGCUGAGCAUAAUGGAGAACAUUGGAGAUAACAUUAAUUCUGAUCUGGAUUUGGAGAUUCAGGUAUACUUCACGCGUACAGAACUUCGGAGAAUCAAAGUACUAACGGUGAAUGUAUCUGAAGACGGUGAAUAUUGUGAACCAUAUUAUGCAACACGUAUGCAUUUUGUCUCAGCCAAGUCUUAUUUAAAGAUGACCUAUAUUGUAUGUUCCAUGUUUCAAGUACAUCUUUGUCAUUAA
rnacentral:rRNA from 1 species